rnacentral:misc_RNA from 1 species
AGGGUUUAAUCAUUGAAGGUCUCCUUUGUUCCUUGUGCUGGUCGCUGAGCCACUUCUUUCUCUUCUGACGCACUUCCUCUCCUUCUUCAGCUCUUGGAAUCACAGGUUUUGUAGCCUAUAUCUUGCUACGAUUAUCUUUCGUCUACUCUGGAAUCUCUCUCUUGUUUACUUACCAUAAUGUAUUAUGUUUACAAGUAAGCAAUAGCGAUAGCUUUGGUGGCAACGACAGUGAUGGCAGAACCUACUCAGCCUUACAACGA